CGAACUCCUCACUUUCUCAGGAAUCAAAUUGUAUGUUUCUAUUUUCCUCUCAUAAUUUUUCCUGUUCUGUUUGCUUCUUAAUUUGACAACAAGCCUUAGCCUCUUCGGUUUUUUUCGAAGUGAUCGUAAGUGUAAACACAUAAAUUUUGGUGAAUUGGAUUAAUGCUAUAUCUGCUGAUUAUAGAAACCUUCUACUCUAAUAUCACCGUUCUCUGUAGUUUUUACGAGUUAAUAUCUUUUCUUAUUUCCUUUGACUGUGUUCUAAAUUUUCUGGAUAAAAUCUGAAUUACUAGUACUAAUUAUGAAAAACAUAUCCUGAUUGCUGAGUCAUCUAAUGAUCAGCCAUUGUUUUGAAACGACUAUAUAUUUUUGUAAUAUUUCUUUUUUGUUUACCGGUAUUUUAUUGGUUAGCUGAGACAGUUGAGUUCAGGUGAUUCGGAGAUAAUAGCAACAACAACAAUAAUACCACUUAGUGGGAUACGCACACCUUACUCCUACUUUUGGAUAGAGAGUGUGUUUUCAAAUAGACAUCUCGCAUCCUUUCCUCCAAUAAUUUCCGCCUUGCUCUUUAACAACAAUAAUACCACUUACACCUUAUUUCUACUCUUGGAUAGAGAGGCUGUUUCCAAAUAGACAUCCGGCAUCCUUUCCUCCAAUAACUUACCGCCUUGCUCUUGGGAAGACUCGAACUCCCAACCUCUCGGGAGAGGUUGGAACGCCUUGCUCUUGGGAAGACUCGAACUUCCAACCUCUCGGGAGAGGUUGAAAGUGGGGUUGCGUACCACCAGACCAACCUCUCUUGUCUUGGUAAUCAUGGUAAACUCACAACCAUGAUUCGGAGAUAGCAAUCAUGGUAAAUUUUCUGUUCUCUGCCGCUUCUUGAUAUAUACUCCCGUGGUUGUACUAUUUUUCUUUUUAAAAUAUAACUUAGUUGCCAUUGUUUUAAGAAUAAAAAGGGCUUAGACCAUAUUGACUUUAUUGAAAAUAAUAUCUCUCCUCUCUCUACUCCUUGGGUAUCUUUUCGUAUUCUUGAGUGGAAGAUCCAUUGAAAAUAAUUUCUCUCCUCUCUCUACUCCUUGGGUAGGUUAACGUCUGGGUAGACACACUACCCUCCCAGACCAGACUUGUGGGAUUGUUGUUGUUGUUGUUGUUGUUGAACCCCAAUAACUUAAAAGGAUUAGAAUUCCGAACCCAUAAGCUCUACCUUUGUGCAUCAUUACUUUGCACUUUUGCAAGAGGCUAGGCUGUUUUCAGGAUAGCAUUUAAUAAUAUUUUUCUCUUGAAUAAAAGAUGGAAUUGGAUUCUGACUGAAGUUAUAUUACUUGGGGUUUCUUAAUUUAGUAAGAGCUGAAAAUCUGACUGCUUGUUUUGGGAGCACUGAGCUUAUGAAUAGAAUGUGCAUCAAUAGGGGCACGUUCCUCCUUUUGCGAAAUUUUGAGAAAGGAGGAGGAAAAUUGGCCAGUUGCUAUUACAGUAGUUAAAUAGGUUGAGUACCAUUAAGUGACAAGUUUGUACAUCUGCAACAGCGCAGAAUUUUGUUUACAGAAGCAUACUAUUGAGAGGGUACAUCUUUUAAUUAGAAUUGGCUAAACCAACUUUGUUUUCCAUAAGCUUCUCUAAACAAAGCCAAUCAUUCGGUGCUUCUACCUUCACAGGAGCAUCUUCUUUGUUGAUGGCAGUGGUUCUUUAUUUGAUGUUAUUUAAUUCUGUGUUGUAAGUUGUAACCUUCACAAAUCUGUGAUUGACUUUAUUGACGUCUAUGUUGUUUGUGUUAUCUUCCUUUGUCAUUAUUGUACUUUUUGGUUUGUGAUCUGCAGUUUUUUGAUGGAUAUAUGGAUAUCAUGGAAGAUCAUUCGAACAGACGUACCGGUGUUAUCCUGCAUCAUUCAUUGAUAAGGUUGGAAGGUUUUUUAAUUCCUUUACUGCUCUAAUCUACCGUGGUAAUUGUUUGUGAAGAUUUCACAAAAUCCUUCUUGUUCCUUUGACUUCGAUCAGAUUGUCAUUCUCACAAAAGUCUCGUUACAUCUUAUUUCCCAAGGUUGCGUCAUGUACAUUUUCUUUUUUGUUAAAGAGAAGGAGGUAAGGUGGAGGAGGGCAUGGAUUUUUUUGUGAUAAGGGAAAGGAGGGGGUUGUUGGGUUACCUAUAAUCAAUUGGGCGUUGGUAGACACGAAUUUGAGAGAAAAACAACCUC
rnacentral:lncRNA from 1 species